UACGGGGGGGGCAAGCGUUGUUCGGAAUUACUGGGCGUAAAGGGCUCGUAGGCGGCCAACUAAGUCGGAUGUGAAAUCCCCAGGCUCAACCUGGGAACUGCAUCCGAUACUGGUGGGCUCGAAUCCGGGAGAGGGAUGUGGAAUUCCAGGUGUAGCGGUGAAAUGCGUAGAUAUCUGGAGGAACACCGGUGGCGAAGGCGGCAUCCUGGACCGGUAUUGACGCUGAUGCGCGAAAGCCAGGGGAGCAAACGGG
rnacentral:rRNA from 1 species